rnacentral:rRNA from 1 species
UUGUCUUUUAAUUAAGGACUAGAAUGAAAGGUUUGACUAUGUAUUUCUGUCUUAUAAUAAUAUUUUGAAAUUUAUAUUUUAGUAAAAAAGCUAAAAUUAUCUAUAGGGACGAGAAGACCCUAUCAAGUUUUACAAUCCAGAAUUUAUUUUCAAAUUAAAUUUAAAAUUGUUUUGCUGGGGCAGCAGAUAAAAAUUUUUUAUUUCAAAAUUAUGAUAAAUAAAUCUUGAAAAAUCAAAAAAUUUUUAAUUAAAAAUAAAUUACUGUAGGGAUAACAGCAUAAUUUUUUUAGAGAGUUCUUAUCAUCAAAAAAGUUUGUGACCUCGAUGUUGGAUUAAAAUUCCUAAUUCGUGCAAUAAUGAAAUAA